UACGGAGGUGGCAAGCGUUGCUCGGAAUCACUGGGCGUAAAGGGCGCGUAGGCGGGGAGGUAAGUCGGGUGUGAAAUCCCUCGGCCCAACCGAGGAACUGCGCCCGAGACUGCUUCUCUUGAGUCCCGGAGAGGAAGGUGGAAUUCCCGGUGUAGCGGUGAAAUGUGUAGAGAUCGGGAGGAACACCUGUGGUGUAGGCAGCUUACUGGACCAUGACUGACGCUGAGGCACGAAAGCGUGGGUAGCAAACAGG
rnacentral:rRNA from 1 species